GACGAACGCUGGCGGCGUGCUUAACACAUGCAAGUCGAACGAGAAAGCCCUUCGGGGUAAGUACAGUGGCGAACGGGUGAGUAACACGUGGGCAACCUGCCCCAGAGAGCGGGACAACCCGGGGAAACCCGGGCUAAUACCGCAUGAUGCGUCGCCACUUAAGUGGAGCCGCCAAAUGGUAGCUUCGGCCCCCGCUCUGGGAUGGGCCCGCGCCGGGUUAGCUAGUUGGUUGGGGUAACGGCCCACCAAGGCCAAGAUCCGUAGCUGGUCCGGGAGGACGAUCAGCCACACUGGGACUGAGACACGGCCCAGACUCCUACGGGAGGCAGCAGUGGGGAAUAUUGCACAAUGGGGGAAACCCUGAUGCAGCAACGCCGCGUGAGUGAUGAAGGUCUUCGGAUUGUAAAGCUCUGUCUUUGGGGACGAUAAUGACGGUACCCAAGGAGGAAGCCACGGCUAACUACGUGCCAGCCGCCGCAGUAA
rnacentral:rRNA from 1 species